GGUUUUUAGAUUAUUAUUAAAGAUUCAAUCUGCUCACUGAUUAUUUAAAGAGCCGCAGUAUUUUGACUGUGCAAAGGUAGCAUAAUCAAUAGUUUUUUAAUUGGAAACUGGAAUGAAAGAUUAGACGAAAGAUUAACUUUCUUUAUUUUUAUAAAUUGAAUUUAAAAUUUAAGUUAAAAUUCUUAGAUGUUUUUAAAAGACGAGAAGACCCUAUAGAUUUUUAUUAUUUAAAUUUUAAUAUAAAAUAAAAAUAAUUUGGUUGGGGCGAUUUUGUAAUAUAAUAAACUUAAAUUAAUUGAACCAUAAAUACAUGAAUUUUUUGAUCAAAAAAUUUUUAAUUAAGUUUAAAUUACCUUAGGGAUAACAGCGUAAUUUUAUUUAAGAGUUCAUAUCUAUAAUAAAGCUUGCGACCUCGAUGUUGAAUUAAAAAAUAUGCUGGAGUAGAAGUUAGCAUAAAUUAGUCUGUUCGACUAUUAAAUUUU
rnacentral:rRNA from 1 species